GAUGAACGCUGGCGGCGUGCCUAAUACAUGCAAGUCGAGCGAACGGACGAGAAGCUUGCUUUUCUGAUGUUAGCGGCGGACGGGUGAGUAACACGUGGAUAACCUACCUAUAAGACUGGGAUAACUUCGGGAAACCGGAGCUAAUACCGGAUAAUAUUUUGAACCGCAUGGUUCAAAAGUGAAAGACGGUCUUGCUGUCACUUCUCGAUGGAUCCGCGCUGCAUUAGCUAGUUGGUAAGGUAACGGCUUACCAAGGCAACGAUGCAUAGCCGACCUGAGAGGGGGAUCGCCCACACUGGAACUGAGACACGGUCCAGAGUCCUACGGGAGGCAGCAGUAGGGAAUCUUCCGCAAUGGGCGAAAGCCUGACGGAGCAACGCGGCGUGAGUGAUGGAGGUCUUCGGAUCGUAAAACUCUGUUAUUAGGGAAGAACAUAUGUGUAAGUAACUGUGCACAUCUUGACGGUACCUAAUCAGAAAGCCACGGCUAACUACGUG
rnacentral:rRNA from 1 species